rnacentral:rRNA from 1 species
UACGAAGGGGGCUAGCGUUGCUCGGAAUCACUGGGCGUAAAGCGCACGUAGGCGGAUUGCUAAGUCAGGGGUGAAAUCCUGGAGCUCAACUCCAGAACUGCCUUUGAUACUGGCGAUCUCGAGUCCGGGAGAGGUGAGUGGAACUGCGAGUGUAGAGGUGAAAUUCGUAGAUAUUCGCAAGAACACCAGUGGCGAAGGCGGCCAUCUGGACGGAUAUUGACGCUGAGACGCGAAAGCGUGGGUAGCAAACAGG